CUGCUGCCUUCCGUAGGAGUCUGGUCCGUGUCUCAGUACCAGUGUGGGGGGCCUUCCUCUCAGAACCCCUACGCAUCGUCGGCACGGUGGGCCGUUACCCCGCCGUCUACCUAAUGCGACGCAUGUCCAUCCUAUGCCGGAUCUCUCCUUUAACCGCCCGGGAAUGCUCCCAAAAGGUGUUACGCGGUAUUAGGCCGGAUUUCUCCGGGUUAUCCCCCUGCAUAGGGCAGGUUACAUACGUGUUACUCACCCGUGCGCCGGUCGCCGGCAGGCA
rnacentral:rRNA from 1 species